ACCAACAGAGCCCAGCAGGCUUUGCAACAAGGACACUUUAAGAGCACCUUCUCCCCCUGCGUAGACCGCAGGUCAGGUUGGCUGUUUUAGAGGACGGAAGUGCACAAAACAAGUGGCUGUUGGAAACAUCUUCAAAGAGGGAACGACCACAGAUGAAUGGACAGCACUAGAUACCGACCCCAACGGAAAUGUUAGCGGCCUUGUUUUCGGCUUUGAAAUAAAACUUUAUAAUCCCCAGGAAUAUUUAUAUCCAAAGGCCAAGUAUUAAAGAUACACUUCACAAA